rnacentral:misc_RNA from 1 species
AGAAACUUGGGCACCGGAAAAACCAUUAGACAUUGACAUUGUUAAAAAUAGGCUGACAUGAUGCUCACAAUUACAAGAAUCCAACAAAAUUGACAUCUCCAUUACAGAGAUGAAAAGAGAUGAAGUAGCUUCUGAUAACCAACACUUCCAGACUUUGAACCCAAGGACAAAAUAAACACUACAUUAAAAGGAUGAAAAUCAAUGAAGCGGCUUCUGAUGCAAGUAAACAAAACUGUUAGGAGUUCGUAAUCCACCGUGAUCCAUAUCUUCUGUUUUAUUGGUCUACUAGACAAGAAGAACUGGAUUUACACAACCAUCAUUUUCUGGAUUAUUUGUUACUUGAGCAUAUUUCCCCCAUACAAUUUUCCCAGCUGGUGUGACAAGACCUAAUUCACUGACAUUCACCUCAAUGAUGGUUCCUUUGGUCAUAACACCAAGAGAUAUAUACAUUGGACCCUUAGGAUUUUUCUUCACUCCAAUUAUCUCCAGCUUAAAGGUGCAUUUGAGUUCAGGGUGUGUCACAUGGGCCUUUGUAAAACCCAAUCCUGAAGGGUGGAUAAAUCGCUCAUACUUGGGAGGUUUUCUGGUAAAACCUGGUCCCACAAAUGUGACUUUGGUGACCAUUCUCUUCCACUGCUUGGUCUUCCGCUAGCCAGAUCUAAUCACUUUAAACAUUUCAUCUUCUGCAACAGGCCUCACCUUAGGUAGAGGGACUUCCCAUUUCCCAGCCUUCUCUUUCCUCUUUUGC